UACGUAGGGGGCUAGCGUUGUCCGGAUUUAUUGGGCGUAAAGAGCGUGUAGGCGGCCAGGUAGGUCUGCUGUGAAAACUCGAGGCUUAACCUCGAGAUGUCGGCGGAAACCAUCUGGCUAGAGUCCGGAAGAGGGAGAGUGGGAAUUCCUGGUGUAGCGGUGAAAUGACGCAGAUAUCAGGAAGAACACCCGUGGCUAAGGCGGUUCUCUAGUACGGUACUGACGCUGAGACGCGAAAGCGUGGGGGAGCGAACAGG
rnacentral:rRNA from 1 species